rnacentral:rRNA from 1 species
GAUGAACGCUGGCGGCGUGCUUAACACAUGCAAGUCGAACGAAGCAUUUGCGACGGAUUCUUUCGGGAUGAAGAUGCUUAUGACUGAGUGGCGGACGGGUGAGUAACGCGUGGGUAACCUGCCUUAUACAGGGGGAUAGCAGUUGGAAACGACUGGUAAUACCGCAUAAGCGCACAGUAUCGCAUGAUACGGUGUGAAAAACUGAGGUGGUAUAAGAUGGACCCGCGUCUGAUUAGCUGGUUGGUGAGGUAACGGCCCACCAAGGCGACGAUCAGUAGCCGACCUGAGAGGGUGACCGGCCACAUUGGGACUGAGACACGGCCCAGACUCCUACGGGAGGCAGCAGUGGGGAAUAUUGCACAAUGGGGGAAACCCUGAUGCAGCGAUGCCGCGUGGAGGAAGAAGGUUUUCGGAUUGUAAACUCCUAGUCGUAAGGGGAAGAGAAAGGACUGUACCUUACAAGAAAGCUCCGGCUAACUACGUGCCAGCAGCCGC